AUUGAACGCUGGCGGCAGGCCUAACACAUGCAAGUCGAGCGGAUGAAGGGAGCUUGCUCCUGGAUUCAGCGGCGGACGGGUGAGUAAUGCCUAGGAAUCUGCCUGGUAGUGGGGGAUAACGUCCGGAAACGGGCGCUAAUACCGCAUACGUCCGGAGGGAGAAAGUGGGGGAUCUUCGGACCUCACGCUAUCAGAUGAGCCUAGGUCGGAUUAGCUAGUUGGUGGGGUAAAGGCCUACCAAGGCGACGAUCCGUAACUGGUCUGAGAGGAUGAUCAGUCACACUGGAACUGAGACACGGUCCAGACUCCUACGGGAGGCAGCAGUGGGGAAUAUUGGACAAUGGGCGAAAGCCUGAUCCAGCCAUGACGCGUGUGUGAAGAAGGUCUUCGGAUUGUAAAGCACUUUAAGUUGGGAGGAAGGGCAGUAAGUUAAUACCUUGCUGUUUUGACGUUACCAACAGAAUAAGCACCGGCUAACUUCGUG
rnacentral:rRNA from 1 species